AAAAUUUUUUUAGCAAAAUAAAACUUCUUUAAAUUUUCAAAAUUCUCAUGAAAAAGUUAUGGGAUGUUGCAACGGUAAAGAGCAAGCAACAGUUAGCGAAAGUAAUCAAGCUUACGAAAAUGAGCCCCAAACUAGGGACAACAUAAAGAAGAUUUGUGUGUGUAAUAAUUACGCUGGACCCCAAGUUACCUGUGCGCGCUGUGGCAAAUCGUAUCCAAAUAGCGAAGAGUAUUGUCCACACUGCUGCAAGCCAAACUCUACUUACGGCCCACUAACUGCUGGUACAAGUGUGAAAAUACGAAAAUGUUCCGCAUUAAAACGUUCUUGAAACUACAAGCCAACCAGAUCACAUAAAAUAACAAUUGCGCGUAAAAGUAUGCUACCACGGCAAACACGCGCUCUCUCAGAGUGGAUUUGAGAACCUAAAAUGUACUAUGACUGCGGUUUUUGAUUCUCCGGUAAUAUUAUUGUAAACUGGUCUCCAUGUACUAUAUUAAACUCAAACGAAAAAUUUCCAAUUCACUCAAAAAAGUUUUGUCAGAUUAUUUUCAAUAUUUUUUUAAAUUAAUUAUUGAAAUUUUUAAACGUGUUCGUCUCGUCAAAAUUAAUGUUUUAAAUUAAAAAAAUUGUUUCUACUACAAAUCGUCCACCUUCGAGCGGCGCAAGCAGUCAAAAUUUCAGGUCAUGAUCAAUUCCGAUGGGCAGCGGAGAAAGUCGAUGUAGAGGUGACUGUGCCAAACCCAGCUGUGCCAAACCCAGCUGUGCCAAAACUAGCUGUUGCAACACCAGAAGACGCCACCAUAGAAGCCGUAGUCAAAAAAAUAAUGAGCCUUGCUACUAUUGCCAACCAGAGUUUUGUCCUACUUAUCCCGAAUUUACGCUCUCUACUAGCGGCAUUUCCUACGUACAGUGCGAUUUUUGCUGUCAAAUCUAUCCCUGUUGUUGUUCACAAUGUCCUAAUUGUGGCUGUAGCCGAAUCAAGAUGAGGUCUAAAGAAGUAGAAAUUCCGCCGAUUGCAUUUUGUCCUUGUUGCCGCCAGGAGGCGCCAAAGGCCAACGGGCUACAACAUCUUUAUACACCCAAUCCCUGUUGCGCGUGUCAAUGCUCAUGCGCGCAGCAAGAACAAAUCGCCAAAUGUUUAUUGCGCUCUUAUAAAUUACCGCGUGGCAAGGGAAGAAAAUGUUGUCAGUGCAAACAAAAAAAAAGGGAAGAAAAACACAAACGAAUUAGGGAUCAAAAACAGAGUAAGAGCUUUCAUUACCCGGCUGAUCAAAAUGCAGUAGCCUGCCCUUGCAAAUCCGGCACAAGCGCCGCUUGCAGCUCACCGCCACAGCGUGUAGUUGAUAGUUGUUGCGAGCAGGCUAAAGCAUCGGUACGUCCAUGUGCAACGAACUCGAGGGCAAAUGCUACACGAACGCAACAAAAACAAAGUCAAUGUACGCGUGCGCCGCGUAGUAAAGCCGAAUGUCAACGUAAUGUUGAAAGUUGUGCUUGUAGCAGUAAAAAACGAAAGUCGUGCACUGCAAAUAAUCCAUCUGUGCCGCGUUGUCCUUGUGGUCGUGAAAUCGAAAUCCGGAAUAUAACUUACGACCUCCCCGUUUGUCGGAUUGACGCAGUAGACGAUAUUGGAUGCGGUCCUUGCAACUAAUAAAUGCACAUAACUACAUAUUGGCGCUUUGAAGACACUCUGAAGCAGGAACAAAAAAAGCAAAAACUUCCGAAUGCGCCUGCUAAAUUGAGUAAUGGGAUGUAGAAGUAGUCGACGAAGUAGAAGUCAUGGAUCGAGUAGGUCUUGCGAUCGCAAUUCGCAGCGCCAACGAUAUCCCACGAGUCAACCAUGCGAAAGACCGCGAGGUUGCGCGCGUAGACAAACAAAACCGGAAUGCUGUAGUAAUACCGUAAAUCUCUCAUAUCAAUAUCCACAACAAACGCAGUCGGAGUGUUUUCCAGACAUUUCGGAAAUACUUUCAGAAUAUUCAAAUGUUUCGGAAAUGCCGUCGUCUAAUAUGGAUUGUUGUAGCACCACUACGCGUGGCAAUCGUUGCAAUCGAUGCAAUGCAAGCGAAUGUACAUGUAACGAUGUGGUGCAACGAAAUGAAGAUAUUGGUUGUAAAACUGUGGUUUGUCUCACGUUCCAUCCGACGCGACGGAGGAGAAACUUUUAAAAGGGGAAUAUGAAAUGGAAAGUGUUAGAAGCUCGACUUUGUCUACACAUUAACGCUAAUAAAAUUCUGCAAGCACCAGAAAACUAUAAGAAUCCAGUAGCGACGUAAGCAUAAAAAAAAUUGCAAGGAAUCAUGGUGCAAUAGCAACAAUACAACCUCGCAUUCAGAAAAUCUUCUGUAACAAAUAUUUACCAACAAAAAUGUCGCUUUAAAGCCAGGCUCAUUGGAGGCGAGUGAUACUUUAAAACGGCACUUUUGCGGUAAAUCUAUUUUACAGACAUAAUUAUCGACGUUCAUCGUGGCAAUAGCUGAACACGAAUUCACUGGAUAUAAAAUUAUACUUAAACUGUAAUUAAAUUAAACACACAAUAAAUAUAUAAAUACCAUAUAUUCACACAGAUAAC